rnacentral:rRNA from 1 species
UACGUAGGUGGCGAGCGUUGUCCGGAUUUAUUGGGCGUAAAGCGCGCGCAGGUGGUUCGCUAAGUCCGGUGUGAAAUCUCCCCGGCUCACCUGGGAGGGUGCGCUGGAGACUGGCGGACUGGAGGCAGGCAGAGGUCGGUGGAAUUCCCGGUGUAGCGGUGGAAUGCGUAGAGAUCGGGAAGAACGAUCGGUGGCGAAGGCGGCCUGCUGGGGCUGUUGCUGACGGCUGAGGCGCGACAGCGUGGGGAGCAAACAGG